GUGUAGCUCAAUGGUACAGCACAUGCCUAGCAUGCAUAAAACCCUGGGUUCAGUCCCCAGCAC
rnacentral:tRNA from 1 species